rnacentral:rRNA from 1 species
AUUGAACGCUGGCGGCAGGCCUAACACAUGCAAGUCGAGCGAGCGGCGGACGGGUGAGUAAUGUCUGGGAAACUGCCUGAUGGAGGGGGAUAACUACUGGAAACGGUAGCUAAUACCGCAUCCCAUCAGAUGUGCCCCGAUGGGAUUAGCUCGUAGGGGGGGUAACGGCUCACCUAGGCGACGAUCCCUAGCUGGUCUGAGAGGCUGACCCGCCACACUGGAACGGAGACACGGUCCAGAAUCUGACGGGAGGCAGCAGGUGGGAAUAUUGCACAAUGGGCGCAAGCCUGAUGCAGCCAUGCCGCGGGUGUGAAAAAGGCCUUCGGGUUGUAAAGCACUUUCAGCGGGGAGGCGUUACCCGAAGAAGAAGCACCGGCUAACGCCGUGCCAGCAGCCGCGGUAAUAC